rnacentral:rRNA from 1 species
UACGUAGGGGGCGAGCGUUAUCCGGAAUUACUGGGCGUAAAGCGCACGCAGCGGUUCGCCAAGUUUGGAGUGACAGUUGUCGGCUCAACCGACAAAGGACUUCAAAAACUGGUGAACUUGAGGACGAGAGAGGAACAUGGAACUCCAGGUGUAGUAGUGAAAUGCGUAGAUAUCUGGAAGAACACCAAUGGGCGAAGGCAAUG